rfam:Stegodyphus mimosarum contig20048, whole genome shotgun sequence.
GCCUUCGUGGUGUAGUGGUAAGCACUCUCGGCGUGUAUUCGAUAGAUCCGGGGUUCGAGUCCCGGCAAGGGCA